rnacentral:lncRNA from 1 species
GUGUGGGUGCGCAGGUGUAAGUUCAAACUGGUCUUUUGUGAGAAACUCUGAGGGCACGAAGAGCAUUGAAAUGGCUUCUCGCCGGUGUGGGUGCGCAGGUGCGUGUUCAAAUUUGCCUUUUGUGAGAAACUCUGUGGGCACGAAGGGCACUGAAAUGGCUUCUCGCAUGUGUGGGUGCGCAGGUGUGCUU